rnacentral:tRNA from 1 species
GGUGGGUUGGCUUAGUGGUUAGAGCGUAGGUCUCGUAUCCGAAAGGUCCUGGGAUCGAAUCCCGCUAGAGGCUG